UACGAGGGACCUAGCGUUGUUCGGAAUCAUUGGGCGUAAAGAGUAUGUAGGCGGCCUAGUAAGUCAGUUGUGAAAGCCCCGGGCUCAACCCGGGAAGUGCAAUUGAUACUGCUUGGCUUGAAUGUGGAAGAGGGCAGUAGAAUUCCAGGUGUAGUGGUGAAAUACGUAGAUAUCUGGAGGAAUACCGGUGGCGAAGGCGGCUGCCUGGUCCUACAUUGACGCUGAGAUACGAAAGCGUGGGGAGCAAACAGG
rnacentral:rRNA from 1 species